rnacentral:misc_RNA from 1 species
CGCGUGCGAGGGGGCGGAGCGGACCGAGCGGCACGAGACGCUGGUGCAGUGGCGCGCACGGAUGGGGAUCGCCGGAUUCGAGCCGGUUCACUUGGGCUCGAAUGCCUUCAAGCAAGCGAGCACGCUGCUCGCGCUGUUCGCCGGCGGGGAUGGUUAUCGUGUGGAGGAGAAGGAAGGGUGUCUGACGCUCGGGUGGCACACACGUCCGCUCAUUGCCACCUCCGCCUGGCGUGCCGCCGGAGCCGGCAACGGGGACUCGGCCUCCGGUUGAUGGGCCCACUGCGGUUGAAUCAAGG